CCUGGUUGAUCCUGCCAGUAGUCAUAUGCUUGUCUCAAAGAUUAGCCAUGCAUGUCUAAGUACAAGCCGAUUUAAGGCGAAACCGCGAAUGGCUCAUUAAAUCAGCUAUGAUUCAUUGGAUCUGUACCCACACUUACUUGGAUAACUGUGGUAAUUCUAGAGCUAAUACAUGCACCACGUCUCUGACCGCAAGGGAAGAGCGCUUUUAUUAGUUCAAAACCGGUCGGGCCUCGGUCCGUCACCCCACCGUGUUGAAUCUGAAUAACUUGUCGCUGAGCGCACGGUCUCCGCACCGGCGCCGCCUCUUUCAAGUGUCUGCCUUAUCAGCUUUCGAUUGUAGGUUAUGCGCCUACAAUGGCUAUAACGGGUAACGGGGAAUCAGGGUUCGAUUCCGGAGAGGGAGCCUGAGAAACGGCUACCACAUCUAAGGAAGGCAGCAGGCACGCAAAUUACCCACUCCCGGCACGGGGAGGUAGUGACGAAAAAUAACGAUGCGAGACUCAUCCGAGGCCUCGCAAUCGGAAUGAGUACACUUUAAAUCCUUUAACGAGGAUCUAUUGGAGGGCAAGUCUGGUGCCAGCAGCCGCGGUAAUUCCAGCUCCAAUAGCGUAUAUUAAAGUUGUUGCGGUUAAAAAGCUCGUAGUUGGAUUUCAGUUCUGGACUGACGGUUUCACCGCCCGGUGCAUACCUGUUCCUCACGCCCUGCGAUACAGCCACCAAAUCAGCCCGCUGCUCGCGCACGAGGGGCCUCAUCGCGAGUCGUCUCCCCGCGUCGGAUCCCCGCUCUCUCCCACGAGCUUUUACCUUGAAAAAAAUUAAGAGGUGCUCAAACAGUCAGGCUCUACACGUCCUUUACUGCGCUCUCGAAUGAGCCUCAUCUGUCCAUCAUGUGGCGGUAGGAAACGCGUUAUUGGACUAACUAAUAGGAUCACCCCUCCGUGCUAUUACAUCACUUACGCGAGCAUCCGACCUAUUUCCUGGAGCACACCGAGUAAACGAACCUAUGGAAACCAGGCGGACUGCACGACGACACUACACUACAACUAGCAACACACCGAGCACCAAUGUGCGGACCAGAGAUCUCCUUAGCGCAGUAACCAGACACACCACACACACACACACACGACGAUUGCUAGCAAAAAACAAAACAAAAUUCUCAACAACGUUUAACCACAAGUGAGAGCACCAAACCAGCCAGCUAGGAGAGAGAGAGAGAGAGAGAGAGAGAGAGAGAGAGAGAGAGAGAGAGAGAGAGAGAGAGAGAGAGAGAGAGAGAGAGAGAGUAUAUCUUUUGAAUUUCUGAUUUUAUUUAGUACUUACUCAUAAAAGGAAGCACGUAUUAUAUUAAAGUAUAGGUUUAAUGAUUAUAAUUCUAUAAAUAAUGAAAAAGGGUUGGUUGCCUACGUGGCAAAUCUUAAAAUUAAACAUUAGGGUUAAUGGCUUCUCUCGCUCUCUCUCUCUCUCUCUCUCUCUCUGAAGGCAUGUAG
rnacentral:rRNA from 1 species